AUUGAACGCUGGCGGCAGGCUUAACACAUGCAAGUCGAGCGAGCGGCGGACGGGUGAGUAAUGUCUGGGCACCUGCCUGAUGGAGGGGGAUAACUACUGGAACCGGUAGCUAAUACCGCAUACCAUCAGAUGUGCCCAGAUGGGAUUAUCUAGUAGGUGGGGUAAAGGCUCACCUAGGAGACGAUCCCUAGCUGGUCUGAGAGGAAGACAAGACACACUAGAACUGGGACACGGUCCAGACCCCGACGAGAGGCAGCAGUGGGGAAUAGUGCACAAUGGGCGCAAGGCUGAUGCAGCCAUGCCGCGUGUGUAAAGAAGGUCUUCGGGUUGUAAAGCACUUUAAGCGAAGAGGCGGUACUCGCAGAAGAAGCACCGGCUAACUCCGUGCCAGCAGCCGCGGUAAUAC
rnacentral:rRNA from 1 species